GUUUUCUGUGAGCCAAUUUAAUCGUGUGAAAUUACAGUCUUAUCCCUUCUUAUUUUUUUUUAUAUUAUUUACAUGUACCGAUCGAUCUCUUCGACCCUUCUUCUUCCCUUCCCUGUACCAUUCACUCUUCACUCUGAAACUCAAAUUGAGGUGAAGAGUGGAAGUCUUCUUAUCUUAAUUUGGAAGAUUUGUCUUGCAAGUAUUUGAAUACCUGGUGAGACUAGAAGUGGCCCCCUUUUGCGAUUUGUUGUUUUUGUCAGAAAUUAGCCUCUCUUUUUUUACAAAAAAGUGCCUUCUAUUUGGGAUACUAUAUUUGUAUGAAGUCAAUAUGUAAGCUGUUAAUUUGAGUUCGGAAAUGGAAUGAGAAGGGUCUUUGGAUUCUGCCAAUCUCUUACAUUUGUUCUGCUUACUACCAUUAUACAAGUCAGGCAAUCAAAAAACAUCAAAGAAGCAACAUAACGGGCCAGCCGAGCCGAAGAUGGAAAAUGCAUUUUAAAGGGUGAAAAUUGAUGAGGUGGAAUUUGCUGACAAGAAGCUGCAAGAUAAUUCUUGCUGAGCAAAGAGCGGUGCUGAGAUUUGAUAUCUAAAGCACAAGAAGUCUUGGGGCAGGUUAGAGGAAGGAUAGGCUGGAUGGACAACUAGAGAUUUUGUUUGAUCUGAAUGAGAACUUAGUGACGAUGAAACAAUAGCAUUGAGUGUAUCUGCAGUAAGCAAGGAUGCUAAAUACUUGGCAUAUGCUCUCAGUUCGAGCGGAAGUGAUUGGGUAACUAUUAAAAUAAUGGAUGGGGGUUCUGGACAAAAAAGUUCACAGUGAUACUCUAUCAUCGAGACAGCAGCCAUGGAGAUGAAUGUGGGUUUAACAUAUCUAGAGAGAAGGAGCAGAGACCUCGGCAUCAACCAUUACAAUGUCCAGG